AUGCGGCGCUGGCGGGGCGCGGGGCUGGCGGCGCUGGCCGCGGUGCUGCUCGUGGCUACGGAAAUAAACCAAGUGCAGCAGGACCCGUGGGCAGAGACUGCCGAGGGCACAGGCUUGAACAUCACUUGCCAGCACCCCGAAAUUGCUGCAGACUAUACCUACUGGUAUCGGCAGUUCCCACACCAACCUCCCCAGCUGAUAGCAAGGACUGUCCAAGGCACAAAACCAGUGCUGGAGCCAGCGGGGCAGCUGUCGGUGUCGCCAGACCGUCGCUGGAGCUCCCUCUGGCUCUCCCGGCCCGGUUUGCAGGACGCGGCCGUGUAUUACUGUGCCCUGGCAGACACGGCCAGAGGAGCCGGGGCUGCGGCCGGGCACGAACCGCCGCGGGCGGGGCCGGGCGGGGCCGGGGGCACAGCGCCGGCCGGGGCCUGCAGGGCUUUGUCACAUGCUGCAAAUCCCACCUGUGCUCACAGUCACUGCCACCGUCGGCUCUGCGGCUUUUCAUUGUUUCUACAGCUGAGCUAA